AUUGAACGCUGGCGGCAGGCUUAACACAUGCAAGUCGAGCGGGGUGAUGGUGCUUGCACUAUCACUUAGCGGCGGACGGGUGAGUAAUGCUUAGGAAUCUGCCUAUUAGUGGGGGACAACAUCUCGAAAGGGAUGCUAAUACCGCAUACGUCCUACGGGAGAAAGCAGGGGAUCACUUGUGACCUUGCGCUAAUAGAUGAGCCUAAGUCGGAUUAGCUAGUUGGUGGGGUAAAGGCCUACCAAGGCGACGAUCUGUAGCGGGUCUGAGAGGAUGAUCCGCCACACUGGGACUGAGACACGGCCCAGACUCCUACGGGAGGCAGCAGUGGGGAAUAUUGGGCAAUGGGGGGAACCCUGAUCCAGCCAUGCCGCGUGUGCGAAGAAGGCCUUAUGGUUGUAAAGCACUUUAAGCGAGGAGGAGGCUCUUUUGGUUAAUACCCAAGAUGAGUGGACGUUACUCGCAGAAUAAGCACCGGCUAACUCUGUGCCAGCCGCCGCAGUAA
rnacentral:rRNA from 1 species